CAGUAGCCGCGGUAAUACGAAGGGUGCAAGCGUUAUCCGGAAUGAUUGGGCGUAAAGCGUCUGUAGGUGGCUUUUCAAGUCAGUCGUCAAAUCCCUGGGCUCAACCCUGGACAAGCAGUGGAAACUACCAAGCUGGAGUAUAGUAGGGGCAGAGUGAAUUUCCGGCGGAGCGAUGAAAUGCGUUGAGAUCAGAAAGAACACCAACGGCGAAAGCACUCUGCUGGGCCGACACUGACACUGAGAGACGAAAGCUAGGGGAGCAAAUGGGAUUAGAUACCCCAGUAGUCCCUGUCUCUUAUAC
rnacentral:rRNA from 1 species